UCCACGCAGUAAACGAUGAAUGUUAGUCGUUGGGUCUCUAGUAGAUUCAGUGAUGCAGUUAACACAUUAAACAUUCCGCCUGGGGGGUACGGUCGCAAGAUUAAAACUCAAAGGAAUAGACGGGGACCCGCACAAGUGGUGGAGCAUGUGGUUUAAUUCGAAAAUACGCGAAGAACCUUACCUAGCCUUGACAUUGAAGAAACACACUAGAGAUAGAGUGGUGCCCUUCGGGG
rnacentral:rRNA from 1 species